CAGCCGCCACGGGAAUACGAAGGGGGCUAGCGUUGCUCGGAAUGACUGGGCGUAAAGGGCGCGUAGGCGGCGAUCAAAGUCAGGCGUGAAAUUCCUGGGCUCAACCUGGGGGCUGCGUUUGAUACUUGAUUGCUAGAGUGGGGAAGAGGGUCGUGGAAUCCCCAGUGUAGAGGUGAAAUGCGUAGAUAUAUGGAGGAACACCGGUGGCGAAAGCGGCUCUCUGGCUUGUAACUGACGCUGAGGCUCGAAAGCGUGGGGAGCAAACAGGAUUAGAUACCCGUGUAGUCCCUGUCUCUUAUAU
rnacentral:rRNA from 1 species